GCUGGAUGCGGAGGCGCACGCCUGUAAUCCCAGCAACUUGGGAGGAUGAGGCAGGAGGAUCUCAAGUUCAAAGCCAGCCUCAGCAAUUUAGCAAGGCCCUAAGCAACUUAGUGAGACUCUGUCUCUA
rnacentral:sRNA from 1 species